rnacentral:lncRNA from 1 species
GCUUAAACUCUGCUAUAAAUUGAUGUAUGGUGCAGUGUUAAAACCUGAGGCUAGGAGAAGUGUUUGUUUGGAAGAGUAGUGUAAAAUGGCAUCACUCAAAGCUGAGAAACCUGUUGAGAAAUCUCCUCACUCUGCAGGGCAGGUGAAGAAAGAGACUUCUGCAAAACCUAGUUCAGGCAAUCCCAAAGCCCCAGCCUCCAAACCAGCUCCAAAGAAAACUUCAACCCAGACUAGGAAGAAGGUAUUUAUUUUAUACAUGCCAUACAAAUUCUUUUCAAGUUCAUUUCAUAUAAUCAUGUAUCUCAGUUUGGAAAGUGAUGAUUUCACAACAUAGCCUACAACAAUGAAAGCAUGCAUGCAUGCAAUGCAUGCAUGAAUGAUUUUCCUUAAUUGACUUUCUCUAUGGAACUGAUGGAAUAGCCUUUUUCAUGCUUUUUCAGGGAAGCAGCAAUAAAUAAGCUGAAGAUGUAUGGAUGAGUAAAAAGAAUGGUCUUGGAAUUAUGGGAAGAGUUGAUAAGGUUACUGUUAUGUGGUGCUUUUCAAACAUAUGGUUUUAAGCAGUGCUGCUGUUUAUAGACUCUGUAUUACUUGCUUAUGUUAUUUUCCUGUCAUGUUACUGCAACCUGUCUGGGCCUGAUAAAUAAAAGAUAUCCUUAUAUUGUAUGAUCACGUUCAUCAAGCAGAAAUUCUGUUUAAUUUUGAUACUAUCUUUUUUUUGUCGCAUC